rnacentral:rRNA from 1 species
GUAGGUGGCAAGCGUUGUCCGGGAAUUAUUGGGGCGUAAAGCGCGCGCAGGCGGUUCUUUAAGUCUGAUGUGAAGCCCACGGGCUCAACCGUGGAGGGUCAUUGGAAACUGGAGAACUUGAGUACAGAAGAGGAAAGCGGAAUUCCACGUGUAGCGGUGAAAUGCGUAGAGAUGUGGAGGAACACCAGUGGCGAAGGCGGCUUUCUGGUCUGUAACUGACGCUGAGGCGCGAAAGCGUGGGGAGCAAACAGGAUUAGAUACCCUGGUAGUCCACGCCGUAAACGAUGAGUGCUAAGUGUUAGGGGGUUUCCGCCCCUUAGUGCUGCAGCUAACGCAUUAAGCACUCCGCCUGGGGAGUACGGCCGCAAAGGCUGA